rnacentral:rRNA from 1 species
UACGGGAGGCAGCAGUGGGGAAUAUUGUACAAUGGAGGAAACUCUGAUACAGCAACGCCGCGUGAGUGAUGAAGGUUUUAGGAUUGUAAAGCUCUGUCUUUGGGGACGAAGAAAGUGACGGUACCCAAGGAGGAAGCCCCGGCUAACUACGUGCCAGCAGCCGCGGUAAU